rnacentral:rRNA from 1 species
AGAGUUUGAUCCUGGCUCAGAACGAACGCUGGCGGCAUGCCUAACACAUGCAAGUCGAACGCCUGUAGCAAUACAGGAGUGGCGCACGGGUGAGUAACGCGUGGGAACCUGCCCUGGAGUGGGGGAUAACCGAGGGAAACCUCGGCUAAUACCGCAUACGUCCUGAGGGAGAAAGAUUUAUCGCUCUAGGAGGGGCCCGCGUCGGAUUAGCUAGUUGGUGGGGUAACGGCCUACCAAGGCAACGAUCCGUAGCUGGUCCGAGAGGACGACCAGCCACACUGGGACUGAGACACGGCCCAGACUCCUACGGGAGGCAGCAGUGGGGAAUUUUGGACAAUGGGGGAAACCCUGAUCCAGCAAUGCCGCGUGUGUGAAGAAGGCCUUCGGGUUGUAAAGCACUUUUGUCCGGAAAGAAAACUUCUGCCCUAAUACGGUGG